UGGAUCACCUCCUAACAGGGAGACAACAAAAUGUUUAAUAUUAUUAUUUUGUCACCUUAGGUCGAUCGGUAUCUCACGUUUUUAAUUUAUUAAGAACUUCAAUUCCUAAGUUUUUCUAGGUCACACCCAUUAUUUUUCCUGGGCCAUUAGCUCAGGUGGUUAGAGCGCACCCCUGAUAAGGGUGAGGUCCCUGGUUCAAGUCCAGGAUGGCCCAUAUCUCUAUGUUGGGGGUAUAGCUCAGUUGGUAGAGCGCCUGCUUUGCAAGCAGGAUGUCAGCGGUUCGAGUCCGCUUACCUCCACUGAUUACCACCUCUUCCAUAAUCUGUAGAAAGGAAAUUUUUUGAGUCGUGAUCAACUUCUGAACGAAUCUAGCUUCCUAAUGAAAGUAUUAAGAUGCUGGACUCAUUGAAUUAAUUUCAUUGUUUUCAGAGAACCUUGACAACUGCAUAGAUUAUUUUUAAAGACAAUAAGCAUCUUUAAUGAUGCAGAUUUAUUAUUUGUGCGAAUGCAUUAAUAACAAUUCUAUUAAGCUGAUGCUUCAAUUUUGAAGUUAUUGGUCAAGCUACAAAGGGCUCACGGAGGAUACCUAGGCACACAGAGGCGAUGAAGG
rnacentral:tRNA from 1 species